AUUGAACGCUGGCGGCAGGCCUAACACAUGCAAGUCGAACGAGUGGCGGACGGGUGAGUAAUGUCUGGGAAACUGCCCGAUGGAGGGGGAUAACUACUGGAAACGGGCGCUAAUACCGCAUACUAUCAGAUGAGCCUAGGUGGGAUUAGCUUGUAGGUGGGGUAAUGGCUUACCAAGGCGACGAUCCGUAACUGGUCUGAGAGGAUGACCAGUCACACUGGAACUGAGACACGGUCCAGACUCCUACGGGAGGCAGCAGGGGGGAAUAUUGGACAAUGGGCGAAAGCCUGAUCCAGCCAUGCCGCGUGUAUGAAGAAGGUCUUCGGAUUGUAAAGUACUUUCAGUUGGGAGGCGUUACCCGCAGAAUAAGCACCGGCUAACUCCGUGCCAGCAGCCGCGGUAAUAC
rnacentral:rRNA from 1 species